GCAGAGCUUGCUCUGCUGAUCAGUGGCGAACGGGUGAGUAACACGUGAGUAACCUGCCCUUGACUCUGGGAUAAGCGCUGGAAACGGCGUCUAAUACCGGAUACGACCUUCCCCGGCAUCGGGUGGGGGUGGAAAGAUUUUUUGGUCAAGGAUGGACUCGCGGCCUAUCAGCUUGUUGGUGAGGUAAUGGCUCACCAAGGCGACGACGGGUAGCCGGCCUGAGAGGGUGACCGGCCACACUGGGACUGAGACACGGCCCAGACUCCUACGGGAGGCAGCAGUGGGGAAUAUUGCACAAUGGGCGAAAGCCUGAUGCAGCAACGCCGCGUGAGGGAUGACGGCCUUCGGGUUGUAAACCUCUUUUGGCAGGGAAGAAGCGAAAGUGACGGUACCUGCAGAAAAAGCACCGGCUAACUACGUGCCAGCAGCCGCGGUAAUACGUAGGGUGCGAGCGUUGUCCGGAAUUAUUGGGCGUAAAGAGCUCGUAGGCGGUUUGUCGCGUCUGCUGUGAAAUCCCGAGGCUCAACCUCGGGCCUGCAGUGGGUACGGGCAAACUAGAGUGCAGUAGGGGAGACUGGAAUUCCUGGUGUAGCGGUGGAAUGCGCAGAUAUCAGGAGGAACACCGAUGGCGAAGGCAGGUCUCUGGGCUGUAACUGACGCUGAGGAGCGAAAGCGUGGGGAGCGAACAGGAUUAGAUACCCUGGUAGUCCACGCCGUAAACGUUGGGCGCUAGAUGU
rnacentral:rRNA from 1 species